UACGGGGGGGGCAAGCGUUGUUCGGAAUUACUGGGCGUAAAGGGCGCGUAGGCGGCCUGCUAAGUCGAACGUGAAAUCCCUGGGCUCAACCCAGGAACUGCGUCCGAUACUGGUUGGCUUGAAUCCGGGAGAGGGAUGUGGAAUUCCAGGUGUAGCGGUGAAAUGCGUAGAUAUCUGGAGGAACACCGGUGGCGAAGGCGACAUCCUGGACCGGUAUUGACGCUGAGGCGCGAAAGCCAGGGGAGUAAACGGG
rnacentral:rRNA from 1 species